rnacentral:misc_RNA from 1 species
AAGUCGUAACAAGGUUUCCGUAGGUGAACCUGCGGAAGGAUCAUUAUAGUAAGGGUCUUCGGGCCCGUUACGAGAUGCAACCCUUGUCUUUUUGUGCACCUUCUGUUUCCUCGGCAGCUUUGCCUGCCAGCGAGGACCCCAUGAAAACCUUUUGUAAUCCAGUAUAACGUUCAGAAAUCAAAACAAUAUUAAAACUUUCAACAAUGGAUCUCUUGGCUCUG